rnacentral:rRNA from 1 species
GUAGGGAAUAUUGGACAAUGGGCGAAAGCCUGAUCCAGCCAUGUCGCGUGAUAGAUGAAGGCCCUCUGGGUUGUAAAUAUCUUUUAUCUGGGAAGAAACUCCUCUAUUCUUAGAGGCCUGACGGUACCAGAGGAAUAAGCACCGGCUAACUCCGUGCCAGCAGCCGCGGUAAUACGGAGGGUGCAAGCGUUAUCCGGAUUCACUGGGUUUAAAGGGUGCGUAGGCGGGUUGAUAAGUCAGUGGUGAAAGCUCCGGGCUUAACUUGGAAACUGCCAUUGAUACUGUCAGUCUGGAAUGUCGUAGAGGUAAGCGGAAUGUUGCAUGUAGCGGUGAAAUGCUUAGAUAUGUUACAGAACACCAAUUGCGAAGGCAGCUUACUAUGCGAUAAUUGACGCUGAGGCACGAAAGCGUGGGGAGCAAACAGAAUUAGAUACCCGGGUAGUCC